rnacentral:rRNA from 1 species
GAUCAUGGCUCAGGAUGAACGCUGGAGGCGUGCUUAACACAUGCAAGUCGAACGGGAAUUACUUUAUUGAAACUUCAGUCGAUAUGAUUUAAUUCUAGUGGCGGACGGGUGAGUAACGCGUGGGUAACCUGCCUUGUACAGGGGGAUAACAGUCAGAAAUGACUGCUAAUACCGCAUAAGCGCACAGGACCGCAUGGUCCGGUGUGAAAAACUCCGGUGGUAUAAGAUGGACCCGCGUUGGAUUAG